CCUCCCGCGCCUCUAUUUCUACCGCCCCGCCGGCGCUACCCGCCGCCCGCGCUCUCCAUCCAUCCCCGUCCCCCGCGAUCGCCGAGCUCUACCUCCUCCAGCACACGUCCCGCGGCAGCAUCCGUCAGAGAAGCUAGCUAGCGCUUCGAUCCCCGAUCCGUGUCGUAGACGACAGCGGGGCCCCCCGGCGGCCGGUUGUUUCUCGCAGCUCGGCCGGCGGCGGCCAUGGACGACGACGCCUCCUCGUCUCCGGCGGCUUCGUACAUCAGACUGGUGCAGCAUCUGAUCGAGAAGUGCAUCUGCUACAAGCUGAACAAGGAGGAGUGCAUGGAGACGUUGGAGAAGCACGCCAAGAUCAUGCCCGUCGUCACGUCCACCGUGUGGAAGGAGCUAGAGAAGGAGAACAGGGAGUUCUUCGAGACGUACAAGAAGGAUCGGGGAGGAGGAGGAGGAGGCCCCAGGAACCUGCAGGAAGCGGCGGCUGCUGGUCACCAUCCUCCUCCGCGUCUCCAAGUCCAACAGAGCUGCUGCUCACAAGAGCCGGCGCUGGAGCAGAAGAAGCACCCACCAUCUGAUGGAGUACAGGAACAUAAUCGCGUCGUCGUGGAGAAGGAGAAGAGGAAGCAGGACCCACCAUCGGCGUCGGCGUCGGCUGAUGGACAGGAACAGCGCGUCGUGGAGAAGAAGGAGAAGAGGAAGGACCCGCCGUCUGAUGGACAGGAACGGCGCGUCAUGGCGAAGGAGAACAGCCGGAAGGAUCCUUCCGCUUCUUCCAAGAGAUCAGACAAGGACAACGACUAGAGCUCUCGCUCGCUCGAUCAGCCGUGCCGCUCCUGUGGCUACGAUCGAAUGUGGUCGAUGCAGGAGAUCUCAGGACGAUCGAAGAUUCUCGAUCUACAGGCGCCGCCGUACCGCGAGCAGGGGGAGGGAGCGACGGACGGUGUUGCGCUGCAUGCGUGUGGGCCCUGCACACGUGGCGGCCGGGCGAAUAUUCACCCGGCUUAGCGUGUUUGAAGGACACGACACGACUGGUGGAGGUGGUGGUGGUUACUGUCAGAAGAAAGAGGCCGUUCUUGUCCCGGUGGUCGGUCUCGCGUCUCGACGUACGUACGUGCUCUGCUCUGGCGAUCCGUCGAACAGACAGGACGGCCGGGCGCCGGGGCCAAGGCCAACAAAGCACGCGAGAUUUCUUCCUCCCCCAGGCCCAGCCACCCUCCUUUUGGCGCCGGGCGCUUCUGAGCAGGACGUCUACGGUGGCUGGCAAAUUCCCAGGCGUGCGCGUGACGUCUUGUUUGGUCGGAGCAGCCUGCAACAGCGCACGCAGUACACAGCCGGUCCAAGAGGCUCGGCCGGGCUCACUCCUGUCAUGUUGACAUGUAGCUAGGCACGUGCACACGUACUUGUGACCGCUACACAGGCCGGUAUGCAUGCCACUCGCUGUACGCGUCCACAAGAAUCGAGCCCGGCUUUUGUGCUUCGGGAGUUUGGAACCAA